rnacentral:misc_RNA from 1 species
GACACAAGUCCUUCUCCGCUCCGAGCAUAAGAAGUAUCGACGCAUGCUAAGAUAAAACCAAACACCACACUUCUCUGACGAUCUCCCCGAUGCUUCACCUCUCCCUCAUUUUAACUUAAAUAAUAUUUCUCUCUCCCUCCUCAGUUUUUGCCUUCACUUUCCCUCUUUUAGAUCAUAGUAGCUUCUCUCUAGUUGCUGCCUCCUCCGCUGAGAUCUCAAUUUCUCUGUCAAUUUCUGCUAGUAAUUAUCGGAUUAGGAGAAUGGC